rnacentral:lncRNA from 1 species
AAAGUGCUGGGAUUACAGGCUUGAGCCACUACGCUGGGCUGCUAAAGGAUUGUAAAUGCACCAAUCAGCGCUCUGUGUCUAGCUAAUUGGGUAAAGAGACUUGGAGAACUUUUCUGUCUAGCUAAAGGAUUGUAAAUGCACUAAUCAGCACUCUGUGUCUAGCUAAAGGUUUGUAAACCCACCAAUCAGCACUCUGUAAAAAUGGACCAAUCAGCACUCUGUAAAGUGGACCAAUCAGCUCUCUGUAAAAUGGACUAAAAAGCAGGAUGUGGAUGGGGCCAAAUAAGGGAAUAAAAGCAGGCCACCCGAGCCAGCAGCAGCAACCCGCUUUGGUCUCCUUCCACGCUGUGGCAGCUUUGUUCUUUCGCUCUUCACAAUAAAUCUUCCUGCUGUUCACUCUUUGGGUCACCACUACCUUUAUGAGCUGUAACACUCAUCAUGAGGGUCUGUGGCUUCAUUCCUGAAGCCAGCGAGACCACGAGCCCACCAGGAGGAACAAACAACUCCGGAGGCGCCACCUUUUAAGAGCUGUAACACUCACUGCGAAGGUCUGUGGCUUCACUCCUGAAGUCAGCAAGACCACGAACCCACCAGAAAGAAGAAACUCUGGACACAUCAGAACAUCUGAAGGAAAAAACUCUGGACACACCAUCUUUGAGACCUGUAACACUCACCGCGAGGGCCCGCGGCUUCAUUCUUGAAGUCAGAGAGACCAAGAACCCACCAGAAGGAACACACUGGGAUUACAGCCCCCACGGCCUGGUGUUGGGACUAGGUAUUACAUUCGAAUACCCUGGAAUAUAAGGGGAAGUUGCAUGCUGCCUCCUGGGGUUUAUCCCAGGUAGCUCUAGCUUUCUUGCUGCCCACAGAGGCCUGGAGCAGGAGAGUUGCUAAGAUGCCACGGAGUGCCCAUUUGGUCACUGGCAGUCUGGGCAGGUUGCCCCUUUCUGGGUUUGUGGUGACGGAGAGGAGGCCAAAAGGCACAGACCGAGUCCCCGGGUGGCUGCAGGCAGCUCCAGCCCAGUCCUGAGGAUCCUCCUCACCAUGGUCACCUGCCUUAGUAACUCUGCCCAGGAAGUGGCCUGCUGCUUGCUGUGCUGCUGCUUUUCCUACUUCUGCCCUUCCCUGCCAUCCCUCACAAGUCUCAGUUGACAAGCAAUUCCUCGUCUUCCCUGGCCCCCUAGGGAAAGGGCUAAGAAACAGUCCGUGUACACCGCAACCUUACUAGCCUAAGGUGGGCGAAGGAGUGUGGAGCUGCCUAGAGUACAGAGCCCUUGGGGAGGAGCCCGCUAAUAAGGGAUGCUCUCCCAUAGCCACAUUUAAAUGCUAACUAGACUGAGGUGGACGAGCUCUGCCAGCUGCUGUCAUCUUCAGAAGAUACAUGCAGCAGUACGGAAUGUUUGUUUCGCUUUUUUGUAAAAUGUUUAAAAGCACUGUGGCUAAGAAAAUUCAGGCCGGGCGCGGUGGCUCAUGCCUGUAAUCCCAGCACUUUGGGAGGCCGAGGCAGGCGGAUCACGAGGUCAGGAGAUCGACACCAUCCUGGCUAACAUGGUGAAACCCCGUCUCUACUAAAAAUACAAAAAAUUAGCCGGGCAUUGGGGCAGGCGCCUGUAGCCCCAGCUACUCGGGA